UCUGCCUAUAGAGGCCUGGGGUCCCUUUGGCAGCACUUUUCUCAAGAAAGUAGAGUCGUGGACAACCAACUGCACAGGUUGGGAGGCUUUGAAGAACAAGCUGCCAUGAAUCCUGCAGCUACAAGGAAAUGAACUCUAUUAACUUGAGUGAGCUUAAAACUAGAUCCUUCCCCAGUCAAGCCUCCAGGUGAGAAUUCAAUCCUGGCUGGCACCUGGAUUGCAGCUUACAGAAGACCCAGCUAAGGCCAUGUCUGGACUUUAAAUCCACAGGAACUGCAAGAUGGUAUCAGAAGUGGGACCUGCAGUGGGGCAUCUAGCAACCCCCAGGAGCAUUGAGUGACCAGGCUUGGGACCCACCGGGCGCAGGGUGUCCAUUGUUCUCUCGAAGCAACUGAGAAUUGUGGAUAUUCUUCAUUAUUCCAUCAUCAUCUCAAACCUCUUGGGUAUAGUGUUUGACUACUACUGUGACCAUAAAUUCCAAUAAAACCUAGGAAAAAUGAAACCACUACAUUAACUGAAAGGGAUAAGACAUGAUGGACAGAAAUUUCCAUGCAAUUAUUCCAUUCUGGUGAGAUUAGAAGGUGCUAAGCAGAUAAAGAAAUCAUCUUAUCAAGAAGGAAAAGUACCAUUUACUGAAGAAGGUCUGCUAAACUUUAAUCAUGACUGAAAAUAUAAAAAGACACUUUAAAUGGAUAAAUGCAGCUAUUGCACACAAUUGACAUGGCUGUAGAGAUGACAGAGUGAAGAGGUAUUUGAUCAGUCAUUUGUUAUAAAAGCUCAGGGAAAAC
rnacentral:lncRNA from 1 species